rnacentral:rRNA from 1 species
GCGCAGCAGGCGCGAAUAGUCUACAAUGGACGAAAGUCUGAUAGUGCGACGCCGUGUGUGCGAUUAAUUCCUUCGGGAUGUUAAAGCACUUUUCUAUGAGAUAAAAGCUCUUUAGGUUAAUAGCUUAUUGAGGACGGAUAUUAGUUAAUAGGAAUAAGCUCCGGCUAACUCCGUGCCAAGCAGCCGCGGUAAUACGGAAGGAGCGAGCGUUGUCCGGAUUUAACUAGGCGUAAAGGGCUAGUAGGCGACUAAUAAGUUAUAUGUUAAAUCCCACGGCUCAACUGUGGUCCUGCAUGUAAUACUGGUUAGAUAGAGUACUGUAGAGGAAGGCAGAAUUCCGUGGAGUAGCGGUGGAAGUGCGCA